UGGUUGCAGUCAUUGCAGCUAAAGGUGGCACAACCAGUUAUUGAGUGUAUCCAAAAUAAACAUCUGCUGAAGGCCAAGAAGCGAGGAAAUGAGACCUUGUGUCCCUCGAUACGUUCCCUCACAAACCACAUGUUUUGGUGUUCAGCAAGGUGUAAUGGAGACCCUGAGGUAAAUUAAAUUGAGAGAACCGCACCGUAAGUUGUGUUUCUUGUUCACUGUAAUGUGCUGUCAUUCUCACCCCAAAUCUGAUCGAUAUGCAUUGGUCCAGGAGACACCUAGCACUUGUACUGGUACAUGCCCUGUACUGAUGAUAUCUAAAAGCAGAUAUAUGUCGUCUGUCUUUGAAGGAGCUGAAGCGUAUGUGGACCUCCGUUCUCAAGGACAUCUGUGACGUACACGGCUGGACACGGGGGGGGGGGGAAGUACACUGUCAACACCCUGACCUCAGUUGUGUUUGAUGACCUCUGCAAUUGUGUUGGACAAACAUUUGAAAACUGAUCUCUAACAAAUGACCAGAUUCAAACAUACAGUUUAGUGGUCAUCAAUAACCAUAACGUUUUUAUAUUUUCAAUCAGAAAAGCCAAAAAAUACUUAGUCUACUCUGUUUUGUCUUUAUAAACACACAGGCCAUCUGGAGGCAUUCCACAGUGCUCUCCUAAAGUACUCCCCAAAGCGGGAGCAUUUUGGGCUCCUGUGAAAUGAAAAAGUGGACACAGAGUGGAAAGCAUAAUGAGAAUGUGGGAUGCAAACAAGCCAAAGGAGACUUGCAGUACAAACUAAUCUAUUGUAAGAGGUCGAAGCAGUGGGUGCUGAAGAAAAUGUACUAACUCAGAACCCACAACUUCAGGGAGAGACUUGUCCACCUGGCUGUGGAGCGAAGAAAGGACAAGACAGUGGUCUACAAGCAGGCAAUGUCACAGCUCCCCAACAUCCCUGCCUACAUCGCCACAGCGCCAAUGCCUACUAAACUAGCUGCCAUUGACCAACACAAGAUGAGGUUCACCAACUGAAGAACAUUCAGGACACUGCCUGGAUCAUUCAGCUGACACAACAUCCAUAUUCAAUUAGGCUGAUAUAGUAUAAUAUAGAAUGCGUAGUAUGCUUACAACUCAAAUUAAAUUGUAUUUGUCCCCUGUAAAUGAGGUGUAGACUAAUUGUGAAAUGCUUACUUACGAGUCCUUUUUCAGACAAUGCAGAGUUAAGAUAAUGAUAUAAAAUAACAAAUAAAAAUGGUGA